ACACACGCACGCACGCACGCACGCACGCACACACACAAACCGUUAAUAUAUUAUUUUAUUUUCGUAAUAUUUUUCAUUUCUCCCAUCCGUCGCCCGCUCGUUUUUUGACUGAUCGCCGUGACUGACGCACUAAUUUCUCUCUCUCUCUCUCUCUCUCUCUCGCUUCCUCUUUCGAUCGUAUUUGUUAUUAAUAAAAUUACGAUGAACAUAUACCGUUCGUUAUGACUUAUAAUAUUGUUGUACGCCGAGCGACCACAUAGAUUUGCGCGCAGCCGUUGACUUUUUCGACACUGCCGUCAUUCGUUUUCUGGUGCCGCCGCCACCCGACGGCAGCAGCGGCGACAACGGCGGCCGCGGUGGCGACGACGACGACGACGACGCCGAUACAAUUAUCAGUUUUCCCGCGGCCGUCCCGCGCGCACAUUCGAACGCCGCCACCGCUGCCGUGACGCGGACCACCAGCGUACCUUCCACUCGCUUCGGACGUACUUGUCCACCGUCGUCGGCCACCCCAUAUCGCUUCGUUCCGACAACGCGCACAUAACCGUCGCCGUCGUCUCCGACAUCACUUUCUCCGUCGUCAUCAUCUUCGUCCCCGUACGGCUGGACCGAUCACUCGACCUUCAACCGAAACUUCACUGCUCAAGCGACACGACGUCCGUCCGAAGCAUGGUAAAACUGUAGAAUAUGAUUUUAGUGAGGUGAUCAUUAUUCUCCGUCUUUAUCGAAAUAAAUGUUUGAAAAAAAAAUAUGAGUGUUGUAAAUAACAACAAUGCCGAUCCUAAUGUGGUGUCUACUAACAAUAACAACAACAAUGCGAACGCUAAUAGCAACAGCAAUAACACCAACAACAACGCAAACAACAGUAAUCCGGCAAAUAACACAAAUCAGACCAAGCAGGUAGUAAAAAGACCCAUCCGAAGGCCAGGAAAACAGCUUCCCGACAGACCGCAAAGAGCAUUAUGUUGCCUAACUCUCAAAAAUCCAUUGCGAAAAUUAUGCAUCGGCGUGAUAGAAUGGAAACCAUUCGAAUACUUAAUUUUAAUGACCAUCUUUGCUAAUUGUAUUGCUCUCGCAGUGUACACACCAUACCCAUGCAACGAUUCGAACACAAUAAAUGGAUAUUUAGACAGAAUUGAACGCGUGUUUUUAGUUAUAUUUACAGUAGAAUGCAUAAUGAAAAUUAUAGCGUAUGGGUUUGUUGCCCAUCCAGGGGCGUACUUAAGAAACGGUUGGAACUUCUUGGAUUUCACUAUUGUUUUAAUGGGAGCCAUAAGUAUAAUCAAUGGAUUCGAUGUAAAAGCCCUACGAGCUUUUCGAGUUUUAAGACCACUAAGAUUAGUAUCAGGAGUGCCAAGUUUACAAGUCGUAUUAAAUUCCAUUUUACGAGCUAUGGUACCUCUUCUACACAUUGCACUUUUAGUUAUAUUUGUGAUUAUCAUAUAUGCAAUUAUCGGACUAGAACUGUUCUCUGGAACUUUGCACACUACCUGCUGGGAAAAUGAUACAAUGAUGGAUGAUCCUCAUCCAUGUGAUGAAGGUGAUUACGGCGAAAUCAGUGGAUUCAAUUGCGCUACUCUCAUUGGUAAUUAUUCAUGCCACGGUCACUGGGAUGGGCCGAAUUCAGGAAUAACUAACUUUGACAAUUUCGGUUUGUCUAUGUUAACGGUUUUCCAGUGUAUUACACUUGAAGGAUGGACGGACGUUUUAUACAGUAUUGAAGAUUCAUUAGGAAGUUCAUGGCAAUGGAUUUAUUUUGUUUCAAUGGUCAUCCUAGGAGCAUUUUUCGUUAUGAAUCUAAUUCUUGGUGUGUUGAGCGGAGAAUUUUCUAAAGAAAGAGAAAAGGCAAAAGCUAGAGGAGAUUUUCAGAAACUUCGUGAAAAACAACAACUUGAAGAAGAUUUGAGAGGUUAUUUAGAUUGGAUAACACAAGCAGAAGAUAUUGAACCUGACGGAGAUGAAAAAGAUGAAUCUUCUAAUCAACAAAAUAAUAAUGUAAAUGAAAAUAAAUCGACGAAUGUGGAACGUGAUGAAGUGGAUCAAAGUAAAUCGUGGUGGAAAAAAAAGCGGAAAAAUUUUGACAAAAUUAAUCGCAGGGCUAGACGAGCUUGUCGAAAAGCUGUGAAGUCGCAAGCUUUUUAUUGGUUGAUUAUUAUUUUAGUGUUCUUGAACACCGGUGUUUUAGCAACAGAACAUUAUAAACAACCACAAUGGUUAGAUGAUUUUCAAGAAAUAACAAAUGUAUUUUUCAUUACACUUUUUACUUUGGAAAUGUUGUUAAAAAUGUAUAGCCUCGGAAUACAGGGAUAUUUUGUUUCGCUUUUCAAUCGAUUCGACUGUUUCGUAGUAAUCGGAAGUAUAACCGAAACGAUUUUAACGCGAACGGCAUUAAUGUUACCACUCGGAGUAUCAGUGUUACGUUGUGUUCGGCUACUCAGGGUUUUUAAAGUUACUAAGUACUGGAGGUCGCUUUCAAAUUUAGUCGCCUCGUUGCUCAAUUCGAUACAAUCCAUUGCUUCUUUGCUGCUUUUACUAUUUCUUUUCAUCGUCAUAUUUGCACUGCUGGGGAUGCAAGUAUUCGGUGGAAAAUUUAAUUUUGAAGCCACAGAUUACAAGCCACGUAGUAAUUUUGAUACAUUUUGGCAGAGUUUACUAACUGUAUUUCAAAUAUUGACCGGUGAGGAUUGGAAUGUUGUGAUGUAUAAUGGAAUAAACGCUUACAACGGUGUGUCAUCACCAGGGAUUUUAGCUUGCAUCUACUUUAUUAUAUUGUUUAUCUGCGGUAACUAUAUUCUUUUAAACGUUUUCUUGGCUAUCGCUGUGGAUAAUUUAGCUGAUGCCGAGUCUUUAACUGCUAUAGAUAAAGAAGAAGAACAACCGGAAACCAAACAAAAAUCUCGAAGUAAUAGCCAAACGAGAGAAAGGGAAAAUGAAUAUCAAGGUGAAAACUCUGAAGGAAUAUCUGUCGAAGAAGAACUUUCAGACCAAAGUUCGUCAAGAAAAGAUUACGAAAGUGACAGUAACAUUAAAAUCAAUCUUGAAGAAGGAUCUGAUUUUGAACCAAAUAAUAACCAAGAAGAUGAAGAAAAUGAAGAAGGUCGUGCUCGUCGGAUGUCGGAACUCAACAAUGCGAAUAAAGGGAUGCCGCCAAUUCCUCAGGCUUCAUCGUUUUUCAUAUUUUCCCCAACUAAUAGGGUUCGAACGUUCUGCCAUUGGUUUUGCAACCAUACUUACUUUAGUAAUUUUUUAUUAGUAUGUAUAAUGGUUUCUUCGGCUUUAUUAGCUGCAGAAGAUCCGUUAAAAGCAGAUUCGGAUAGAAACAACGUUUUAAAAAAAUUCGAUCAUUUCUUCACGGCAGUUUUCACUUUUGAGAUAAUUUUUAAAAUCAUUUCUUAUGGUUUUGUAAUGCACGAUGGAGCAUUCUGUCGAUCGUUUUUCAAUCUAUUGGAUCUUUUAGUAGUUGCUGUCUCGCUGUUGACAGUUUUUUCUAAAAUGGCAAGUACUCAAAAUUUUAGCGCGGGACCAAUGUCAUUAGUAAAAGUCUUAAGAGUUCUGCGAGUACUCAGACCUUUACGUGCUAUAAAUAGAGCAAAAGGAUUAAAACAUGUAGUGCAGUGUGUCAUUGUUGCGGUCAAAACAAUCGGAAAUAUAGUGCUGGUAACUUGCCUUCUUCAAUUCAUGUUUGCUGUAAUUGGAGUACAAUUAUUUAAGGGGAAAUUCUUUUCCUGCAAUGAUCUUUCCAAAACUACAGAAUUUGAAUGCCAAGGUUUGUAUCUAACGUUUGACCACGGUGAUGUGGACACUCCUAAAAAACAAGAUAGAAAAUGGGAACGCAACUCGUUCCAUUUUGACGAUGUGGCUAAAGCCAUGCUCACGUUGUUUACUGUUUCGACGUUUGAGGGAUGGCCUUCACUGUUGCACAAAUCAAUCGAUUCCAAUGAAGAAGAAAAAGGUCCCAUUCACAAUUACAGACCAAUCGUGGCCGCGUAUUAUAUAAUAUAUAUAAUUAUAAUAGCGUUUUUCAUGGUCAACAUAUUCGUCGGUUUCGUUAUAGUAACGUUCCAAAACGAAGGAGAACAGGAGUACAAGAAUUGCGAACUAGAUAAAAAUCAAAGGAACUGCAUAGCUUUUGCUCUGAAAGCCAAACCUGUCCGUCGUUAUAUACCCAAACAUCGAUGCCAGUACAAAGUGUGGUGGUUCGUGACAUCUCAGCCAUUCGAAUAUACAAUAUUCGUGUUGAUUAUGGUCAAUACCAUAACACUCGCUAUGAAGUUCUAUAAACAACCCCAAUAUUACGAUAGCAUAUUGGAUAUGCUAAAUUUGUUUUUCACGGCCGUAUUCGCGUUGGAAUUUGUUUUCAAACUAGCAGCUUUUCGAUUUAAGAAUUAUUUUGGUGACGCAUGGAAUGUUUUUGAUUUCAUAAUUGUACUGGGAAGUUUUAUUGAUAUUGUCGUUGAAAAUUUAUCACCUACUAACAUUACCAUUCCUAAGAAAAAAGACAGAAAACUUUCGAUUAACUUUUUUCGACUAUUUCGGGUUAUGCGUCUAGUGAAAUUAUUAAGUCGUGGUGAUGGUAUUAGAACAUUAUUAUGGACAUUCGUCAAAUCAUUUCAAGCUCUACCGUACGUCGCACUUUUAAUUGUUAUGCUGUUUUUCAUAUACGCAGUUAUCGGUAUGCAGAUUUUUGGAAGAAUAGCAAAAGAUACCAAGGAAUCUGCAAUACAUAGAAACAACCAUUUUCAGACGUUCCCUCAAGCCGUCCUCAUUCUAUUUCGCUCUGCAACGGGUGAAGCUUGGCAAGACAUUAUGAUGUCGUGUGCUUAUCGACCUAACGAAGUAUUCUGCGAUAGCGGUGCAGAUAAGACGGAUGAUAACUGUUGCGGUUCCGAUUUUGCUUUCCCGUACUUCAUUUCGUUUUAUGUGCUGUGUUCAUUUCUAAUCAUCAAUUUGUUUGUCGCGGUCAUCAUGGACAAUUUCGAUUAUUUAACCAGAGAUUGGUCCAUACUGGGACCGCAUCAUUUAGACGAGUUCAUCAGGUUGUGGAGCGAAUACGAUCCCGAUGCCAAAGGUAGAAUAAAACAUCUGGACGUUGUGACGUUGUUGAGAAAAAUAUCACCUCCUCUGGGAUUCGGUAAACUGUGUCCGCACCGCGUCGCGUGUAAGAGACUGGUUUCCAUGAACAUGCCCUUAAAUAGUGACGGCACAGUGUUGUUCAACGCGACACUGUUUGCAGUCGUCCGAACGUCGUUACAUAUAAAAUCUGAAGGCAACAUCGAUGACGCAAACGCUGAGUUAAGAGCUGUCAUUAAAAAGAUUUGGAAACGUACCAACCCGAAACUUCUCGACCAAGUUGUGCCGCCUCCGGGAGUUGACGACGAAGUGACUGUAGGCAAAUUCUACGCGACCUUCUUGAUUCAAGAUUAUUUCCGUCGGUUCAAAAAACGAAAAGAACAAGAAUUAAAAGAAGGGGACAAAGAAGCGCGAAAUACCGUUACACUUCAGGCUGGUUUGCGCACUUUACAUGACGCUGGUCCUGAAAUCAAAAGAGCUAUAUCAGGAAACCUUGAUGAACUCAUCGAUGACAAUCCCGAACCGUCGCACAGGAGAAAUCACUCGCUCUUUGGCAGCGUGUGGUCAUCAAUGAGACGUAGGACGGGCAGUUUGAAACGGUCAUUUAGAGUAAGCAAUACUCAUUCGAAAAAAAAGCAUAAAAAUUAUUUACAAGUGUCAGGAAGAAAUGUGACAAAGCUGUCUCCAUCGAGUUCAAUUGAAGUAGAUUUUUUACCCAACAAUUAUGCCAAACCACAGCGAGAUACCAAAAUUCAAAAUGGAUCUGUUUCACUACAUAGCCAAAACAAAUAAUGAGUAUGAUGUACAAAUGACGCAAGAUUAUAUAUGUAUGUAUAUUUCAGACGUUUACCCGUUCAAAUGCGUUAUUCUAAUGGUAGUAAAGACGAAAUGAACGGAGCCAUUCCGUUAACCAGGUUAUCACAUUCUGUACCUGGAAGUCCC
rnacentral:misc_RNA from 1 species